rnacentral:rRNA from 1 species
UACGAAGGGGAGCUAGCUGUUGGUUCGAAUUACUGGGCGUAAAAGCGUUUUGUAGGCGGUUAUCUAAGUCAGUGGUGAAAGCCCAGGGCUCAACCCCUGGAAUUGCCAUUGAAACUGGAUAGCUAGAGAGUGUUAGAGGAAAGUGGAAUUCCUAGUGUAGGAGUGAAAUCCGUAGAGAUUAGGAGGAAUAUCGAUGGCGAAGGCAGCUUUCUGGGACAUUUCUGACGCUGAGAAACGAAAGCGAUGG